AAGCAGAAAAAGCUCUCUGGCGAAUGAGGGUCAUUGGGUGACUCCAGGGAAUUGUGCGUUGCAGGACAAUCAAAAUUAGAAAUCUACCAAGAUAACAUUGGGAUGGAAAGAUCUAGGGGAUGAGCAUUUUUUGAUCUAAAAUGUUUUACAGGGUAAAUGAAUAUUGGUUCCUCCACCAGUGCUCUGGAAUGGAAUACAGAAGCAAGAAUGGCACUUACAUAGAAACUCAGCCAUGUCUCUGAAGUCCUCAGGUGCUGAAAAGAAAGCUGAAAGAAGUACCAUUCCUAUAAUUGUUUAAUACCUUGAACUUUCCUUGUCAUCAAAUAACAUCAAUAGCUGGGAUGCAAUAUGUUAAUAACACAAUAUGUUUGAGACCAGAAGAAACUGUGUGCACCCAGGUAGAAUGGAUAUCCUUAACAGAAUUCACACAGAACGAAACCUAGCAAGGUAGGUAUUCUAUAAUAUAAUCAUCUAAACCAGUGUUUCUACAUGUUCCUGUGAAGAAGAGAUUAAGAUGUUGAAAUUUUUUAGGCUAAUAAACAGGACAUCUUCUGAGCAUGUUUCAAGUGCAUUUUAAUGGAUGUUCACACACCCAUUGCAAUAAGUGGGUGUUUUUCUUGUGAUAUUUUAGCUAUCAUCCCAUUUAAUAAUUGUUCCUAGUUUUAUAUAUACUUCUAGAUUUUAGCUACCAGUUCCAGAAGUUAGUUUUCUUCUAAAGCCAGUUUGUGAUGUCUUCUUUGUCCACAAUUUCAGGAAGAUAGUUUUAACUUCAGGAAGAUAGAAAUUAAGAUCACUUUCUUUGCUCCAAAUCUCAAAUCCUAUAGCAAAACACCUUGAUCUUCUGUGCUUAUAAAAUCAAGCAAUUUACUGAACAAUAUUUGCUCAUUUCUGAGUAUGGAUGGUUUCACCUAGAACUGUAAUGAUAAGCUUUAAAAUCCCAAAAUUGGCUCACUGCUUAUGAUUGUCCCUGAAUGUAUAUGAUGCAUAGUGGUUAGAAGUAAACAUUAUGUCCAUACAGCUAAAAGGAACAACAGUCACCAGAAAAACUGGAUGGUAAAAGAAAAUUGAUUAGGCUGCUGGCUUGCAUUUAUCACACUGGAGUUCAGGUCCACAUUCUGCUAGAGUAUGAUAACCCUGGACAAAUUUUCUAACUGAUUGUGUCUUUCGGUGAACCAUCAAAAAUGGGGUUAAUAGCAUUUCUCAAGGUUGCAAUAAUGUUUCAAGGAUUAUGUUAAAAGCUUGAAGAUGCUCAAGUACCGCAAACAUGCCACACAAAUUGGGCUAUAAAUUGGGGUCCUGGUUCUGACCUUAGCAAUUGUGAUUCCAUAGUAUUUUAACACCUAUUAUUCUGGUCUAAAUGUGUAUUCUCUCCAUUCUGGAAAAAGAAACAAAUUAAAAAAAUAGAAUUCCUUUGAACUAGAUGCUCUGAGUCCUUUUCUCCUCUUUAGAAUUCUAGUUAUCUUCAUUUUUAAAAAUAUAUCAUUAUCAUGUGAAUAGUGAAAUUUAAGAGGGGAAGAGCAGUGAUGUAGUUUCUGUGAAUUGAGGUGUGGGAUCAAGAUACCCCUGAUAUUAUCUAACUGGAACAAUGUGGUUUAGGGAAAACAAAAAUGUACAGAUUCCUCAAAUCAGGAAUUUCCAUCUAUUAAUUAUUUGUAGAUAUUUGUAGAUGUUUUGAGAACUCAAAAUACAAGACUUACUGCUUUACCCUUUAUUCCUUUAUUAUUUAUCACAAUAUUCCUAUUCAUUCUUCCUUCUAUCUUUCAUAUCCAUUCUUCAGAACUGCUAUCCCACCUGGCUGGUUUUGAGGGACUGGGGAGAGAAGGAGAAGGAAGACCUAUUUGCUAGUGGUCAGUUGUUAUUGUGACUUUGGAUUUAGGACUGAAAUAACUUCAUUUGGGCUAUUGCUAAGGCUAGUAAUGUUUUAUUGGCUGUAUUGUAAGACUGCUGCAAUUUUUCUUUGCUGUUUGAUAUGAUUUACCUAUUUUAAGGAUUUUUAAUUUAAUAAUUAAGAUACUCAAGUUUUGUUUGCUUUUUAUUAUCAUUUAAUCAUUUAAUUUCUUUUUUUAGGCAAGACUCUUAAUAGACCAUUUUUUGGUGUCAGGAGGCACUUGAGAAACUGCAAGUUGCUUCUGGUGAGAGAGAAUUGGCUGACUGUAAGGACAUUGCCUAGGGACAGCUGGAUGUUUUGAUGUUUUACCAUCUUUGUGGGAGGCUUCUCUCUUGUCCUUGCAUGGUUGUCAUUUGCUGAGGUGAAUCUAAGGUUGGAUCAUGUAAUGCCAACAUGGCAUUGCAGCAAGUUUGACAGAAUGCAUGUGGCCACCUCCAGUGUCAAUCUGGAUCAUGUCUGUAUCAUCUAUGGAUUCACCAGCCAGUAUGUUUUGCACCUCCUUGAAAUAGCUCUGUGUAAAGCUGAAUGAAUCCACCACACUCUGUGCAGUAGAUAGCUACGUGCAAUUCUGAAUGGGACAUGUACUGCUAUCAUUGAGAAUGUCCAGCAACUGCGGGUUUGCUGAAUGAAAAAUUCAGCCUUGGAAGUGUGAUAACACACCACUAGAUGGCAUCUUUAGAGAGGUUUCAUUAUAUCUCGAAUUGUUCACUCCACCAUUCAUAGAAUACUAGUUGAGAAAGCCCAUCUUAUAGAGGGGGGAAAAACAUCAAUGAACAAGCAGAUGGUGAAGACAGAAACUUAUAUUUUAGAUUUAACUUUGGAUGAUACAUAUCUUAAAUUUUGGCCUUUCCUUUGCAAACUAUUUGAGACUUGGGUCUUUAUUUUUCCCAAGCUAUAAACAGUAAAAAGUAUGUCUAAAAGAAAGGCAAGAACUUCUAAAACAUAAUUAAAGGCAAUUGAAAUAUAUAAUGGCACUGUGUUUCCAUGCAAUUCAUUUGAUCCCAAAUGCAUUCUAAUUGAAGGUUCAACAUUAGUUUAAAAUGAAUGGAGCUGACAAAAAAUGCACAAAUUGCCUUGUGAAAUUAGCUAAAUUUUGGCAUACUAUGUUUUGGUUGAUGAAUAGAACAAAUUGAUAUGGCAGUGAUUUAAAGGAGAGGCUGUGAUCUUUGUUGUUGCAGGGAAAUAUGUACAUUACUGAUAGGAAAAUAGCAGUUUUAAACAGGCCAUGGCUUUCUGAAAGGAAUGUGGUAUAUAAUUUUGUCUAUAUGUGUAUAAGGGAGAGGGAGGAAGAGAGAAAGUAGUGUGAUUAGUUUGAAUGGCUGGGAACAGUGUUGUCUGCAGGCUACAUGAGAGCCAACGUGGUGUAGUGCUUUUAGUAUCAGAUUAGAGCUCUUGAGACCAAUGUUUGAGUCUCCAUUUGACCGUGGAAACUCACUGGAUAACCUUGAUCAAGUCACACUAUCUCUCUUUCUCUCUCUCUCUCUCUC